AACGCUGGCGGCGUGCCUAAUACAUGCAAGUCGAGCGAACGGACGAGAAGCUUGCUUCUCUGAUGUUAGCGGCGGACGGGUGAGUAACACGUGGAUAACCUACCUAUAAGACUGGGAUAACUUCGGGAAACCGGAGCUAAUACCGGAUAAUAUUUUGAACCGCAUGGUUCAAAAGUGAAAGACGGUCUUGCUGUCACUUAUAGAUGGAUCCGCGCUGCAUUAGCUAGUUGGUAAGGUAACGGCUUACCAAGGCAACGAUGCAUAGCCGACCUGAGAGGGUGAUCGGCCACACUGGAACUGAGACACGGUCCAGACUCCUACGGGAGGCAGCAGUAGGGAAUCUUCCGCAAUGGGCGAAAGCCUGACGGAGCAACGCCGCGUGAGUGAUGAAGGUCUUCGGAUCGUAAAACUCUGUUAUUAGGGAAGAACAUAUGUGUAAGUAACUGUGCACAUCUUGACGGUACCUAAUCAGAAAGCCACGGCUAACUACGUGCCAGCAGCCGCGGUAAUACGUAGGUGGCAAGCGUUAUCCGGAAUUAUUGGGCGUAAAGCGCGCGUAGGCGGUUUUUUAAGUCUGAUGUGAAAGCCCACGGCUCAACCGUGGAGGGUCAUUGGAAACUGGAAAACUUGAGUGCAGAAGAGGAAAGUGGAAUUCCAUGUGUAGCGGUGAAAUGCGCAGAGAUAUGGAGGAACACCAGUGGCGAAGGCGACUUUCUGGUCUGUAACUGACGCUGAUGUGCGAAAGCGUGGGGAUCAAACAGGAUUAGAUACCCUGGUAGUCCACGCCGUAAACGAUGAGUGCUAAGUGUUAGGGGGUUUCCGCCCCUUAGUGCUGCAGCUAACGCAUUAAGCACUCCGCCUGGGGAGUACGACCGCAAGGUUGAAACUCAAAGGAAUUGACGGGGACCCGCACAAGCGGUGGAGCAUGUGGUUUAAUUCGAAGCAACGCGAAGAACCUUACCAAAUCUUGACAUCCUUUGACAACUCUAGAGAUAGAGCCUUCCCCUUCGGGGGACAAAGUGACAGGUGGUGCAUGGUUGUCGUCAGCUCGUGUCGUGAGAUGUUGGGUUAAGUCCCGCAACGAGCGCAACCCUUAAGCUUAGUUGCCAUCAUUAAGUUGGGCACUCUAAGUUGACUGCCGGUGACAAACCGGAGGAAGGUGGGGAUGACGUCAAAUCAUCAUGCCCCUUAUGAUUUGGGCUACACACGUGCUACAAUGGACAAUACAAAGGGCAGCGAAACCGCGAGGUCAAGCAAAUCCCAUAAAGUUGUUCUCAGUUCGGAUUGUAGUCUGCAACUCGACUACAUGAAGCUGGAAUCGCUAGUAAUCGUAGAUCAGCAUGCUACGGUGAAUACGUUCCCGGGUCUUGUACACACCGCCCGUCACACCACGAGAGUUUGUAACACCCGAAGCCGGUGGAGUAACCUUUUAGGAGCUAGCCGUCGAAGGUGGGACAAAUGAUUGGGGUGAAGUCGUAACAAGGUAGCCGUAUCGGAAGGUGCGGCUG
rnacentral:rRNA from 1 species